rnacentral:rRNA from 1 species
UCCUACGGGAGGCAGCAGUAGGGAAUCUUCCACAAUGGACCAAAGUCGGAUGGAGCAACGCCGGGUGAGCGAAGAAGGUUUUCGGAUCGUAAAGCUCUGUUGCUGGAGAAGAACGAGUGCGAGAGGAAAUGCUCGUACUGUGACGGUAUCCAGCCAGAAAGCCACGGCUAACUACGUGCCAGCAGCCGCGGUAAUACGUAGGUGGCGAGCGUUGUCCGGAAUUAUUGGUUGUAAAGCGCGCGCAGGCGUUUUCUUAAGUCUGAUGUGAAAUCUUGCGGCUCAACCGCCAACGGUCAUUGGAAACUGGAAAGCUUGAUUGCAGAAGAGGAGAGUAGAAUUCCACGUGUAGCGAUGAAAUGCGUUGAUAUGUCUUAGCAAUACCUGUGGCGAAGGCGGCUCUCUGACCUGUAACUGACGCUGAGGGGCGAAAGCUUGUUGAGCAAACAGUAUUAGAUACCCUAGCGUUCCAGUACGAGAAAUAUGAAUGCUAGGUGUUAGGGGGACCCAACCCCUUAUUGCUGAAGUUAACACAUCAAGCAUUCCGCCUGGUUAAUACGACCGACUUUCUUGAAACUCAGAUAGAUUUGACGG